GGUUCAAAAGUGAAAGACGGUCUUGCUGUCACUUAUAGAUGGAUCCGCGCUGCAUUAGCUAGUUGGUAAGGUAACGGCUUACCAAGGCAACGAUGCAUAGCCGACCUGAGAGGGUGAUCGGCCACACUGGAACUGAGACACGGUCCAGACUCCUACGGGAGGCAGCAGUAGGGAAUCUUCCGCAAUGGGCGAAAGCCUGACGGAGCAACGCCGCGUGAGUGAUGAAGGUCUUCGGAUCGUAAAACUCUGUUAUUAGGGAAGAACAUAUGUGUAAGUAACUGUGCACAUCUUGACGGUACCUAAUCAGAAAGCCACGGCUAACUACGUGCCAGCAGCCGCGGUAAUACGUAGGUGGCAAGCGUUAUCCGGAAUUAUUGGGCGUAAAGCGCGCGUAGGCGGUUUUUUAAGUCUGAUGUGAAAGCCCACGGCUCAACCGUGGAGGGUCAUUGGAAACUGGAAAACUUGAGUGCAGAAGAGGAAAGUGGAAUUCCAUGUGUAGCGGUGAAAUGCGCAGAGAUAUGGAGGAACACCAGUGGCGAAGGCGACUUUCUGGUCUGUAACUGACGCUGAUGUGCGAAAGCGUGGGGAUCAAACAGGAUUAGAUACCCUGGUAGUCCACGCCGUAAACGAUGAGUGCUAAGUGUUAGGGGGUUUCCGCCCCUUAGUGCUGCAGCUAACGCAUUAAGCACUCCGCCUGGGGAGUACGACCGCAAGGUUGAAACUCAAAGGAAUUGACGGU
rnacentral:rRNA from 1 species